rnacentral:rRNA from 1 species
ACUCCGUACGGGAGGCAGCAGUGGGGAAUAUUGCACAAUGGGGGAAACCCUGAUGCAGCCAUGCCGCGUGUGUGAAGAAGGCCUUCGGGUUGUAAAGCACUUUCAGUAGGGAGGAAGGUAGUGUAGUUAACACCUGCAUUAUUUGACGUUACCUACAGAAGAAGCACCGGCUAACUCCGUGCCAGCAGCCGCGGUAAUACGGAGGGUGCGAGCGUUAAUCGGAAUUACUGGGCGUAAAGCGCAUGCAGGCGGCCUGUUAAGUCAGAUGUGAAAGCCCGGGGCUUAACCUCGGAAUUGCAUUUGAAACUGGCAGGCUAGAGUCUUGUAGAGGGGGGUAGAAUUUCAGGUGUAGCGGUGAAAUGCGUAGAGAUCUGAAGGAAUACCAGUGGCGAAGGCGGCCCCCUGGACAAAGACUGACGCUCAGAUGCGAAAGCGUGGGGAGCAAACAGGAUUAGAUACCC